GAUGAACGCUGGCGGCAUGCCUAAUACAUGCAAGUCGAACGAGAGGAAGGAAAGCUUGCUUUUCUGAAUCUAGUGGCGAACGGGUGAGUAACACGUAGGUAACCUGCCCAUGUGCCCGGGAUAACUUCUGGAAACGGAUGCUAAAACCGGAUAGGUAGCAGACAAGCAUUUGACUGCUAUUAAAGUGGCUAAGGCCAUGAACAUGGAUGGACCUGCGGUGCAUUAGCUAGUUGGUGAGGUAACGGCCCACCAAGGCGACGAUGCAUAGCCGGCCUGAGAGGGCGGACGGCCACAUUGGGACUGAGACACGGCCCAAACUCCUACGGGAGUCAGCAGUAGGGAAUUUUCGUCAAUGGGGGUAACCCUGAACGAGCAAUGCCGCGUGAGUGAGGAAGGUCUUCGGAUCGUAAAGCUCUGUUGUAAGAGAAAAACGACAUUCAUAGGGAAUGAUGAGUGAGUGAUGGUAUCUUACCAGAAAGUCACGGCUAACUACGUGCCAGCAGCCGCGGUAA
rnacentral:rRNA from 1 species